rnacentral:rRNA from 1 species
GCAACCCUUGUCAUUAGUUGCCAUCAUUUAGUUGGGCACUCUAAUGAGACUGCCGGUGGACAAAACCGGAGGAAGGUGGGGAUGACGUCAAGUCCUCAUGGCCCUUAUGGGUAGGGCUUCACACGUCAUACAAUGGUCGGUACAGAGGGUUGCCAAGCCGCGAGGUGGAGCCAAUCCCUUAAAGCCGAUCGUAGUCCGGAUCGUAGUCUGCAACUCGACUACGUGAAGUCGGAAUCGCUAGUAAUCGCAGAUCAGCAUGCUGCGGUGAAUACGUUCCCGGGUCUU